rnacentral:misc_RNA from 1 species
UUAAUAAAAAUUCAACGAUGAGUUUUUAGAUAAAAAUUUCGUGUUGUUGAACGUAUCUGUUAAUUUGAAGUAGUGGACAAACGUCAAGGCAAAGUUGUACGUUGACUUAAAAAGAGUUUUUAGGCAUUUCGACCUUAAAGUCAGGCUUCCACUAGAUAAUUAAACACAUAUAGAGAAAAGCACAAAUGUAAAUUAUAUAUAUAUAGAAAAACCCCAUAUUGGUUUCUUUAAUAUUCUGUUUGGUUGAUGUCUUGAUGAGAAAUGCAGUAAUUCAAGAAAAAGUUUUUCCCCCCUUCGUUUGACUUGGUAUAUUACCAUUCUUAAGUCAAAGUUCUCACCUUUUGGUUUAUAAUAGUGGUUUUAUAGAAGAGUGCUAGGAGCAUACGUACGUUCUUCCCUAUUAUGGCCCAAACAAUGAGAGAGUUUAGUAAUCACUUUAGUUAUGGUAUUUAUUGUGCAGAGCUCAUAGGGACUUUGAUGUUCAGAUUUCUUUUAAUUUUUCAGAUUUCUUUUAAUUUCUAGAUAUAUUUUCACUAAAGUUGUCUAUGGUAUGUGUCUAAGGGUGUGAUUUGCAUAUAUGUGUCUAGUUAUUAGACUAUAAAUACCCAUGUAAUCUAGGUAUUUUAGUAGA